rnacentral:rRNA from 1 species
UGGUGGAGUGAUUUGUCUGGUUGAUUCCGUUAACGAACGAGACCUCGACCUGCUUACUAGUAUGGUUCAUCUUCGGAUGGAGUCAUUACUUCUUAGAGGGACUAUCGGUGUGUAGCCGAUGGAAGUUCGAGGCAAUAACA